rfam:Fukomys damarensis contig132775, whole genome shotgun sequence.
GACCACAUCGAAAUUUCAGUCAUGUGCUGAAAGUGGAACUCUACGAGGAUUAGCAUGGCCCCUGCACAAGGAUGGCAUGCAGAUUUCUUUAAUAAAUAGAAGAAUAA